rnacentral:tRNA from 1 species
GCGGAUGUGGCGGAAUUGGCAGACGCACUAGACUUAGGAUCUAGCGCCUUGGCGUGGGGGUUCGAGUCCCUUCAUCCGCA